rnacentral:sRNA from 1 species
UCAAUUAAUGUUCAAGCGGUAUGUGA